rnacentral:rRNA from 1 species
CCUACGGGUGGCAACAGUGGGGAAUAUUGCACAAUGGGGGAAACCCUGAUGCAGCGACGCCGCGUGAAGGAUGAAGUAUUUCGGUAUGUAAACUUCUAUCAGCAGGGAAGAAAAUGACGGUACCUGACUAAGAAGCCCCGGCUAACUACGUGACAGCAGCCGCGGUAAUACGUAGGGGGCAAGCGUUAUCCGGAUUUACUGGGGGUAAAGGGAGCGUAGACGGUAUGGCAAGUCUGAUGUGAAAACCCGGGGCUCAACCCCGGGACUGCAUUGGAAACUGCCGAACUAGAGUGUCGGAGAGGCAAGUGGAAUUCCUAGUGUAGCGGUGAAAUGCGUAGAUAUUAGGAGGAACACCAGUGGCGAAGGCGGCCUGCUGGACGAUGACUGACGUUGAGGCUCGAAAGCGUGGGGAGCAAACAGGAUUAGAUACCCUUGUAGUC